rnacentral:misc_RNA from 1 species
CUGAACGCCUCUAAGUCAGAAUCCAUGCCAGAACGCGGUGAUACCACCCGCACGUAUAGAUGGACAAGAAUAGGCUUCGGCUUAGCGUCUUAGCAGGCGAUUCUUCCACGGCGCUCGAAGCGCGUCGUGGUAUUUCGCGUAUUGUAAUUUCAACACGAGCGGGGUCAAAUCCUUUGCAGACGACUUAGCUGUGCGAAACGGUCCUGUAAGCAGUAGAGUAGCCUUGUUGUUACGAUCUGCUGAGGGUAAGCCGUCCUUCGCCUCGAUUUCCCCAAUGGGUUCUCCGGAUUUCUGGAGACUUGUAGGGGUUGUGGGUUUUUUCGAUGUGUCGUCUCCGGACGGGCGGUGCAGGGUAGUCGAGUUAGACUUGGUGGAAUUCGAUUCCGUCGAGUAUGGCUGGCACGAUCGUGUGCGGUUGUGUGUUGGACGGUGCAGGGUAGGCUGCUUGGACAUGGUCGGUUCGAGGAUCGAUUCGAGGGCCGGCCUGUCGAUGAUGUGUGAUGUAUGCGGUCUAGGGUAGGCUGGUUUGUCUUGGUCCAAUUUGAUGUCGGCUCCCGUGCAGGCUAGAGUGAGGGGGGUCCAGGGUAGGUACAGGGUAGGCAGCUUAGAUUUGGUCGAUCUGGAGGUCGAUUCUCCGGCUGGUGGAUCUGACCCUGUCGAAACGAGAUGCGAGCGGUGUAGGGUAGGCUAGUUUCGUCCUCGCCAGGUUGCGAUUUGGACGAGAUAUGUGGUCUAGGGUAGGCUCUAGGGUAAGUAGAAUUCGAGUUUCGUCGCCGACAGUUUUCUGUGGGUGUAUGGUAGGUACAGGGUAGGCAAAACUCUCUCCGGCCAGUACUUGUCUGGUGGUCGUGAGUCGAUUUUUUUGUUUUGCCAUACUAUUGAAUUUUGCGGAAAUUCAAAAGUGGCUCGGGAGUCCCGCCUGGCGUGCGUCCGACUCGAACAUCGUCGGUGUACAUAUGAGAGGGAGUAAUCCGGCCCGGCCGGGGCCCCAUCGCGAGCUGCCGGGUAGGUAAAAGUAAAAAAGUUGUUAAGAGGCGCGGUGUCGGCGUGCUUGUAUUUGCGGGAGAGAAUUAUCUGGAGGUGCUGGGUAGCCGGGAAGACUUGGACGGAUCUGGCCCGGGAAUGGGUCUGGGCCUGGAUUCUGGUGUGGUGUAGGAUAGGCGUAGAUAGAUGAGUGGUCUAGGGUAGAUACAGGGUAGCCAGAAGUCUGGUAUAUAGUGUGGGGGGUGUAGGGUAGGUCUGGACACCGUUUUCCACUUCGCCCUUCCCUUUACUCGAGGGAGGACGAUCUUGGCUGGGAUGGAGGUGUAGGGUAGGCUUAAUUUACGAUUACAUGAUCUGUGUCACUCUAGGGUAGGUGAAAAUCCCAUAUAUAUCUGAUCACAUUUGGAGAAGAGGUGGUUUGGCUGGUGAGAUGGACAAAAGUGCAAUGUAGAAUUAUAUGUGAUUUUGCAAAAGUGGGUGUAAAAUUGGGAAAUCGGUUUCCCCGCACAGAUGAGAGCACGUUUGAGGUGCCAUGAGAUGCACCUCUCCGAGACGACCUCAACGGUACCACCGAUGUGUUGGUCCGGCUCCUGUGCGGCCGUCCAGGGCGGGAUAUGUAGAGAAUGUGGUGGUGUAGGGUAGGUGGCCAGGUCCAGGGUAGGUUCUCCAAAUCCGUCAAUCCGGCUUGAAUCGAAGGACAGGUCUAGGGUAGGCCAGAGUCGGGUCUAGGGUAGGCAGCUCUCACCCUCGAAGUGGUCUACCCGGUAGUCAACUUCAAUCGCCUCUCACGGCCGCCACGGACCUCGCAUGACGACGGGACCACCACCAUCGGAUUUGCCUUGGUCGAAAUAGUCGGUAUAUGCACUUUUGCAAAAAUGCGUGCAAAAUGGUUUUGUGGUUUGGUGGUCGUGAGUCGAUUUUUUUGUUUUCCCAUACAAAUGAAUUUUGCGGAAAAUAAAAAGUGGCCCACGAAGCAGUUCUGGCGUGCGGCCCACUAAAACGGUCUCGGAGGGUAUAUGAGAAGGGAGCAAAUCCGGCCGAGCCUGAAAGGGUGAGGACAAACCGGGCGAGCAACCUCUCAGUAUCAGAUCUUGCAGACUUCCACUGCGUGUCCCUCUGUACAGCUUUGCAGGCUCCGGCCUCGGCAGCGGGGGGUUCAUAGUGGUCGUCGACCUCCACGAAACUGCACGCUCCGGCGUGACAGCGUACUGGGGAUGCCUGUGUAGAUGCAGUCCGGGCUUGCCUGGACCGCUAGCAGAUGGGCUCUGUGGAUGACUGGCCGCUGGCUAGACCUGAAACCUGAGCAACGGGAGGUAACCUCUCGCCGCGGACACCGGAAUGGUAGAAGCGGCGUGCUGCGUCCUCCUCUUGGGGCCCCUAAGCCACACCUCCCAUAGCGGGUUCGGUGCGGCGGACGGACGCCCUGGGGAAUUUAGAGGGGGAAAGCGGAUUGCCCUAGCGGUGUUGUUGGCCCUGCCGACCUCACUGCGAAAGGCGCGACUUCACCGUCGCCACCCAGUAACUUGUCUCUCCGGCGCUUCACGGCGCUGGUGGCCAACCCCGGCACACGAUAGUUACCUGGUUGAUUCUGCCAGUAGUCAUAUGCUUGUCUC